GCUUUCAGCAGACUGAUUGAACACACAGGCUUCUCAGCCCACUCCCUCCAGUCAAGGUUAAGGCCUGGCAAAGGUGGAGGAAGAGAAGCUGAGGAGAAAAAGGUGAGGAAAGCCCAGGCACAGGAAGGUGACCGCUUCCCUCCCUCCCAGUGCUGAUUUCCUGUGGACCAGAUUCCAGCACAGUGGAGGACCAGAGCUCAGGGAACAGACCCAGCAGCACAGCAAGUCUCCAAGGAAAGCUCUAGCAGUCUCCAGGGGCUGAAGGCAGGACUGGGGAAGCAGCUAGCCAGGCUGCAGAAGUCAAAUGCUCCCAGGCGGCUGUCCAGCACGCAUCCGCCUUCCUAGCCAAGUUUCCUGGGCUCCUGCCACAGAUCUAAGCCUCAUCCUGACAUCCUGCCCUCUGUGCUCUGGGAUGGCCCAGGGGAGAUGCUUAGCCUUGGCUCCUUGUCUGCUGGUGGAGGGAACACACACCCUUUCUGGACCACAGACCAAAAAGAAGACCUGACGUCAUCCUGAGCACCCACACCAUGCAGAGUGUGUUCGCAGACUGCCAAUGGGCUGGCUCAGGCCAGC
rnacentral:lncRNA from 1 species